rnacentral:rRNA from 1 species
GAUGAACGCUGGCGGCGUGCCUAAUACAUGCCAGUCGAGCGAACGGACGAGAAGCUUGCUUCUCUGAUGUUAGCGGCGGACGGGUGAGUAACACGUGGAUAACCUACCUAUAAGACUGGGAUAACUUCGGGAAACCGUAGCUAAUACCGGAUAAUAUUUUGAACCGCAUGGUUCAAAAGUGAAAGACGGUCUUGCUGUCACUUAUAGAUGGAUCCGCGCUGCAUUAGCUAGUUGGUAAGGUAACGGCUUACCAAGGCAACGAUGCAUAGCCGACCUGAGAGGGUGAUCGGCCACACUGGAACUGAGACACGGUCCAGACUCCUACGGGAGGCAGCAGUAGGGAAUCUUCCGCAAUGGGCGAAAGCCUGACGGAGCAACGCCGCGUGAGUGAUGAAGGUCUUCGGAUCGUAAAACUCUGUUAUUAGGGAAGAACAUAUGUGUAAGUAACUGUGCACAUCUUGACGGUACCUAAUCAGAAGGCCACGGCUAACUACGUG